rnacentral:rRNA from 1 species
UAGGGAAUCUUCGGCAAUGGACGAAAGUCUGACCGAGCAACGCCGCGUGAGUGAAGAAGGUUUUCGGAUCGUAAAACUCUGUUGUUAGAGAAGAACAAGGACGUUAGUAACUGAACGUCCCCUGACGGUAUCUAACCAGAAAGCCACGGCUAACUACGUGCCAGCAGCCGCGGUAAUACGUAGGUGGCAAGCGUUGUCCGGAUUUAUUGGGCGUAAAGCGAGCGCAGGCGGUUUCUUAAGUCUGAUGUGAAAGCCCCCGGCUCAACCGGGGAGGGUCAUUGGAAACUGGGAGACUUGAGUGCAGAAGAGGGGAGUGGAAUUCCAUGUGUAGCGGUGAAAUGCGUAGAUAUAUGGAGGAAAACCAGUGGCGAAGGCGGCUCUCUGGUCUGUAACUGACGCUGAGGCUCGAAAGCGUGGGGAGCAAAAAGG